CUUUCGUUUGUUUUAGCCAGACGCCAGGUUUUAGGCUGCCACCAGAGGCGGGGCAUAGGCACUAAAGCAACAAGACAAUAGAAGCCUACAUCUUGCCCAAGAUAAUUAGCUUACAUGCUGAUGACAAGGACAUCACUUCUCACAGAUGGAGAGUUUGGAGAGGAAGGAGUGGGGGAAUGUGGUCAGACUCAAAGAUUUGGACAGGUGGAGUCAGACUGGAGCUCUACCCAAUAGACCUCCAAGGUAGUACUUGGCAACUAGCUGAAAGAAAAGAAGAGGUGGCAAUUUUCAUAAUUUUUGCCACACUUUCAAUGACUUGUGACACUGUUACCCUAGUUCCUCUACAUUAUUCAAAAUUUACCAUGAAAAUAGGGAGAGAAGAGAUCAAAGACAAUAUAGGAGGAAAUGAAAACAGAAAAUCCAGGCAGUAGAGACACAAGAACAGAAUGACAAAGAAAAUUUAUUCCAUGAGACACAGUGCCUCUUAAUGGCCUCUGACAAGAAACACUGCCACCAGGAAUGAAGGCGUUGGAGAAUAACAAGAGUGGUGGGAGAAAAUCAACUGAUUUGACCUAAGAUUCCAGGCAAUGAAGGCUGCUGAGGUAAUACAAUGAGAUACUGUCCUGCAUUGGAGUAUGGAAGGACAAGAUUGACUGCCACCUACAUCAGUAAUUAUAUAUGCAUUGGUUUCCACAGCUGGAUCCAGAAUAAAUAAUUUACAACAUUACUUGGAAUAAAGUUGUCUUCAGAAGCAAGCAAGUACCUCAGUUACUGAUCCAUGAGAGAACCUUCCCUCUUAUCUCAUGACUGUCUACUUUACUUAAGAGCAUUUGGUGAGGGACCAUUGCAAAGACAUUCUGAAAGUCCAAGUACACUGUAUCUACUGGAUCACUCUGAUCCACAUUCCUUAAAGAAGGCAUGAAAGGUGUGUUGAAUCUUCCCCAGCAUAUUGUGUUCAUCUAUGUGUCUGAUGAUUCUGUUCUUUAUUAUAGUUUCAACCAAUUUGCCUCACACUGAAGUUAGGGUUACCAGCCUAUAAUUACCAUGAUCACCUCUAGAGCCUUUUUUAAAAAUCAGUGUUACAUUAGCUGUCCACCAGUCAUGUGGUACAGAGGCUGAUUUAAGUGUUAGGUUACAUAACACAGACCUAAAAGUCGCAAUAUUACAACA